rnacentral:rRNA from 1 species
UAGGGAAUCUUCCGCAAUGGGCGAAAGCUUGACGGAGCAACGCCGCGCGAGUGAUGAAGGUCUUCGGAUCGUAAAACUCUGUUAUUAGGGAAGAACAAAUGUGUAAGUAACUAUGCACGUCUUGACGGUACCUAAUCAGAAAGCCACGGCUAACAACGUGCCAGCAGCCGCGGUAAUACGUAGGUGGCAAGCGUUAUCCGGAAUUAUUGGGCGUAAAGCGCGCGUAGGCGGUUUUUUAAGUCUGAUGUGAUAGCCCACGGCUCAACCGUGGAGGAUCAUUUGAAACUGAAAAACUUGAGUGCAUAAGAGGAAGGUGAAAUACCAUGUGUAGCGGUGAGAUGCGCAGAGAUAUGGGGAAACACCAGUGGCGUAGACGACUUUCUGGUCUGUAACUGACGCUGAUGUGCGAAAGCGUGGGGAUCAAACAGU